CCUUUACAGAUGCUCCCAGUACACACUGGAGAAUAAAAGUUAGAAGGCGACAAAUACUUCAGGACUGCACUCACACUAUGUUGAGUUCUGUAGAAUUUUUGCUGACAACCUUGAAGCCAGAGGGAAACCACAGCUUUGUUUUACUUAAAAAGGUCUCUGACUAAGAAACUGAAAGACUGUUAAGAAACUGUUAGCAUCUGUGAUGAUACCACGUCCAAAGAAAUCUUUGAAAAGGCCAAAUCAUGUGAAGGAUAUUUGCUUUAUUGUCCUGCAGUAAUACUCUGGAAAUUACCAUUAAAGGAAUAUUUUGCUGAGAAAAUAAAAGCUGCUUUCUCCUGAGGCCAAAAUUUAAGCAAAGAAGACAGCAGAUGUUUUCUUUUAGUACCUCAUGUGGCUGGGACCGAGCUUCUACAACAGCUGCUCUGUGAAUGGAGGAAGUGGUGCUCUUGGUGUCUCUACAUCUAUAAGAAAAGCAUACGUAUCCGUCUCCUUUUCAUGUUGCUUCAGGGCUGGAGGCACCUAACAGCAAGUUAUUUUGACCAAAAAAGAAAAAAAAAUAGAGAGCGAGAGAAGAAAAACACAGAAAACAGUUUUAUAUCAACCCACAAGUUCACAGAAUCACAGAAUCACAG
ensembl:lncRNA